CCAGUAAAUAAAGUGUUGACCUGUCAUAGUCCACUUGCUUUAGUGGGUGCUUGGUACUCAGAGUGUCACUAAACAAGUGGACUGAACUGCUUCAGGCAAAAAAAGAAAGAAAGAAACUGUCUUGUGCCUAGAUAGCUAGAAUGUCAGGACCAUUGCAGGUCAAUGAUUCACGGAAGAUGGCCAUCAUUGACCAUGAACUGAGAAUGCUCAUCACUGAUGUUGCCACUCUACAGGAGACCAGACUCAUUUCAAAUGGCUGCCUCAGAGAGAUAUACUACACCUUUUUCUGGCAAGGAGAGCAUCCAGAAGAACCAGGUAUUCACGGUGUAGGCUUCACAAUGAAGAACUUCCUUCUGUCUGUGAUAAAGGGCUCAGAACAUUUGUUUUCCCUCGACUUCUCAAUUGCCGUCAUUUUGGUUAACAUCUUGAGCAUCCAAGACAGACGGAUGUCAACAAGGACCAAAACUCAGGCAUCCUUUGAAAUUUGCACUUCUCUGAAUUUUGCAGUGUGGUUUUCCUGCCAAAUAAUGUGUUUUUAAAAAUGUAUAUACUGGGGCAAAGUGCCCAUAAAAAUUAAUCCCCCCUGCCAUGAAAACAACAUGAAAAUGCUUUAUUUUAGGGCAAAAUGGCUUUGGAAAAAUGUGUCUAUUAGGGGAAAUUGCAGCUUGUAAACCACUUAAAAGUUCUGUCGACGAUCAAGCAUUAUAUACAUCGAUCAAGCAUUAUAUACAUUUCUUAAAAAUUAAAAUAAAUCAAUGAAAUAGAAGGAUGUGUAGGUUGGCAGAAAUUUGCAUUGAAAAUGUUGAACAAUGUUAUUUAUUAUCUACUUAUCUGUUGUAUUUAUAACCCACCGUUUUCUCAUAAGGAGCUUAGGGUGGCAUACAUAGUUCUCCUCUUCCUCAUUUAACCCCAUGAGGCAGGUUAGGUUGAGAGGCAUUGAAUGGCCCAAGCAAGCUACAUGGGCUAGUUGUGAUUUGAACCCUAGUCCGACACUCUAACGACUUCAUGUGGACCUUUUAUAAAAAGAAUGCAAGUUGAUGUAGAAAUGCUGAAAACCAAAUUUAAAAUUGGAAAAAUGAGAAAUGAAAUUGAAAACUUCACCUCAGUGUGCCAUUGCUUAGAAUUGCAAGAGAGGAGAGAGUGCAGGGUCUGCUUGUGAGACUUCUAUUAGGCCAUUCAGCUGGUCAUUGUGCAAACAGUGUGCUGGGCUAGUCGGGCCCCCUUUGGCCUGAUCUCGCACAUUCUUAUGUUCUUAACAAGUUUUUAUUUAAAAAAAGCUUGCUUCACAAUCACAUUCCACAAAUGAAAUCAGAAAACAAGUCAACACAUGAUAUGUCUCACUCACAUCUUGUUAACAUAUUGUUGAAAUUUAAACGGGUCUGAAUUUUCCAUUCCAGCUCUCGUUCAGAACCCUCCCUGGCAGACCCCGUUGCAUUGGGGUUUGAGCCUCCUGCAACCAAAGAUACAAGCGCUGCCUCUACUGUAGGCUGACACAGGCCUCUAUGGGGCAAAACCAGCUGCUUUGACAUUACUGAGGCUUUCUACUCAGAGAGGGAGAGGGAGAGCAAGAGGCCUCUCUGCCUUGCCAUACUGCUUUUGCCUCAGGGCUUAAGCUAGGCGUGUCCAUCAUGAUUUCUGCAAAGCUAUCUUUGUAAAAGUUAAUGUCAUGAGUCUCUACUCCCCUGUUUCCUUAUCCUAGGCCAUCUGCUGCAUUAUUAAAACUCCCCCCCCCUGCAACCUUAGAGAGCUCAACUCACCACACAGGAUUUACUGCCACACCUUAAAAACCAUGUUAUUAGUGCUAUGUAGCUUAGGGGUCAACAUGUCACAGUAGACCUUUAUUGAUUUGGUUUAUUAUUUUCUUUUUUCUUUUUUAAAGAAACCCUUUCCCCACGGCUAAAGCACUUUGCCUCUCAGAGUGGUCUCAGGCUUCACGGGCCUCUUUCCCCUACCUUCCAUCGACUGACCUGAGCUUCUCUGAGGGGAUGGAGGCGAGAGGGAGGGAAACCUCAAUCCAACGCUGAAGGCCAUCAAGUGUUUCUGAAAACAUGGCUGGCGGGGUAAAAAACCAGCUGGGUGGUUGAACUCUUGACCCUUGAGGAAAGAUGUAACGUGUCUCCCUAGUUUAUUUUAAUCAAUACCUCUAUAAAAUAAAGCCGCAUGAGGCUGGCUUUUGAGGGCUCUCUCUGAAAUCCCAGGACACCUUCUGCUUGUUUGCAAAAUCAGAAACUGCCAUUUCUGGCUUUUGGUUUAGUGUUGAGCGGAAUGGCAGAUGGCCCACAUGGCCUUGGGAUGGGGAAAGGUCAGCGGACCUUGUAAGAAUCUUCCAGCGGUCCUCAGAUGAGAUCUUCACAACCUUCCUCAGUGGGGAAAACAGAAGCUCGCUGUUAAAAUGGUCGCUUGGGACUAGGAAGGACCCCAUAAUCAGGACCCCAUCCACAAGACCUUGUAUAGGCUACCAAGUCAGGUACAAGGUUCUUGUAUUAACAGGUACAAGCCCCUUAACAACUUGGUUCCAGGAUACCUCAGGGACCACCUGACCCCUUAUGUCCCUGCCCAACCCCUGACGACUUCUGGGGAACCACUGUUAGUGGCCCCCUGUGACACAGACGGCUUUGUUUUUCCUCCACUGUUGGAGGCAGCAAGCCUCUAAAUACCAUUUUCUGGGAAUCACAAGUGGGGAGGAGAGUGCUGUUGCACUUAGUUCCAGUUUGCAGGCUUCCCAUUGAAGCAUCUGAUCGGCUACUGUGAGAACCAGAUAUCGGGCUAGAAGGACCACUGGCCUGAUCCAGCAGUGUUCUUCUUAUGUUCUACCUCUAUUGUUGGGGAUAAUUUUUACCUCUGAAUACCAGUUGCUGGGAUUAACAAAUGGGGAAGAGAGUGCUGUUGCACUCAGGUCCUUCAUGCAGGCUUCCCAGAGGCAGCAGGAUGCUCAAAUAGUCUUUUGCCUGCUCCAGCAGCCAGGCUCUUCUUUAUGUUCUGCCUCCAUCAUAGGAGACAGUAAUGCUGCUGAAUACCAGUUGCUAAGAAUCGCAACUGGGGAGAAUGCCGUUCCACUCAUGUCCUACUUUUAAGCUUCCUGUUGGGGCAUCUGGUUGCCACUGUGAGAACAGGAUGCUAGUCUAGAUGGGUCACUGGCCUGAUCAAGCAGGGCCCUUCUUCUAUUCUUAUGGAGACAAGACAGAUAUAAAUAUUAAUACUGGGCUGAAUGAAGCAGCUGCCUGAAGCAGCAAGCCCUGAGAAGUUUGUGUGUGUCAGGAAGACGCUGUAGUUGUAGGCUGUGUGCACCACACUGCCAGGCCUGUGCCCUCUAAGCCAACCUACUGCCCUCAGGUGUGGAAGAGAGCAGUGUUAUAACAACACUCAGCCAGCAUACCCUCCAACAUUUCAGCCAUGAAAAUAGGGAUGUCCCAUUCCAUAAUGAUAACUUUACUAUUUAUACCCCACACAUCUUACUGGGUUGCCCCAGCCACUCUGAGCUGCUUCCAACAUAUAUAAAAGCACAAUAAAAUAUUAAACAUUUAAAAAAAACUUCCCUAUACAGUGGUACCUUGUUUCUCGAACUUAAUCUGUUCUGGGAGUCCGUUCGAUUCCCAAAACCAUUUGAAAACCAAUGUUCCAAUUGGCUGCAGGAGCUUCCUGAACUCAAGUGGAAGCUGUGUUGGAUGUUUGGCUUCCGAAAAACAUUCACAAACUGCAACACUUACUUCUGGGUUUGUGGCAUUCGGGAGCCGAUUUGUUUGACAACUAAGCCAUUUGAGAACGAAGGUACCACUGUACAGGAUUGCCUUCAGGAGAUGGAUAACUCCAUACCCUCCAACAUUUCUCCCAUGAAAAUAGGGAUGUCCUAAGGAAAACUGGGACAGUCCAGGAUCAAAUAAGAAACUGGGAUGGCUUCUAUAAAUCAGGGACGUCCCUGGAAAAUAGGAACACUGCAGGGUCUAAGCCAGUACCAGUCCUGUCAGCUCCUGUAACUGAAAUGGCAGCCAUCUUGUUUUUCACCUCAGGCAGCAAAAUUUAUUCACCUGGCCAUGACAGGAAGAAGUGAGGAGGAAAGGAGACAUCCCGGUAGCCGUUAACCAUCACUUAACAAAAGUGGAAAUUCAUAUGUCAUGAGUGUGUUAACCAGGGAGGGAGGGGCCCCUCAUACCUCUCUGUCACAAUUCAUGGGGUGGUUUAGUACUCUCCGAAUGGGAGAUUGAUAUCCCAUGAUGCAUAAGUGCCUGCAAUAUAAUAUAUGUCAGAAUGUGUACGUGCGGCAUAUGUAUGUGAAUGGGAGAAAAACUGGAAAUAUGGGGGGGGGGGGGGUUGUGGAAACAGUCUCCAGUUGCUCCCUAGAUAAUGGAAUAGGGAUACAGGGAAUUAUGAAAUGACCUCACUUCCCAUUUUGCCAACCACACCAGCUGGGGUUUCUCACUUGUCCGAUCUGAUGGGGGACUCUUCAAAGUGUGAGUGAAUUUUCAAGACAAGACAAUAGCUGAGGUACUGUGGGAAUUGUGAUGGGAAAAGUUAGGGUUGCCAUAUUCCCAAAAGGGGGGGAGGCCUUUUGAGCUGCAAACUGGUGGGGAGGGCUUGCCCUGCCAGGCAUAGCGCUGGAAGAGCCUAGGGGGGCUUUUCCUGGCACUAGAUGCCAAGGGAGGUGGAGCCUCAGGCUUCCAGUGUGGGGAAGAUCGGGUAGUGGAGGGAGCAGGUUGGCUGACUGCACACACAUGUCUGUGCAUGUGCCCAAUGAGAGCUUCUCCUACACACCAGCUCCUGGCACACUCACAAACACCCACAGCCUGUCAGCAGAGGAGGAAGAGGAGGAGGCUUGACCUGGCGAGACAGUUAGUGGGGGGGUUGUUGCCCCCUCCUGCACACACACACCUCUCCCUAUAGCAAAGUGCAAGGAGUUCUAUGUUAUUGGUGGUGGUGGUGGUGCACCAGGGGAGGCAGAGGCUGCUGGAAAGUUGCCCCCAGCCCUCCUGUAGUGUCCUCCCAAGUCUUUACUGUUGGCUGCAAGGUCCGCUUGGAAACCUCUCCUUAGCAGGCACUGGAGAGAUGAUAAGCCAGCACUCACCUCACCAAGGCCGUGUUUGUGUGCUGGAGGAAUGGUUGCUGCUGCUGCUUCCCCCAGAAAAGAAAGCCACUGCAGUCAUUUGAAUCCUGCGCUGCUUUUGUUUUGAGAAACAUGAAAUUGGUUGAGGCUGUUUUUGGAUUUUUAAAGCAUUUUUAAAAAAUAAUUUAAAAAUAUGUUUCUUUUUUAGUCGUCCUACUUGCCACACGUCAGAGUUUUCCUGGACAUUUUGCCAAUUUGACAAAAAUCCACCCUGACGCCAUUUUGUCAGUCCUAUUCCCAGAAAGUCCAAUUUCUUGGACGUAUGGCAGCCCUAGGAAAUUUCCAUCCAAACCAAACAGCAGUCAGUUUUGUCUUUUGUAGGGUUUGACACUGCCUUACAGCCAUGAGACAGACAACAAUAAUUUAAAACUGAUUGAAGGUUAAAUAUCAAAGGGAACCACCAACUGACCUUGUGCUUGCUUAUUGGACUAGCGCUGUCCCAAGAUUUUGUCCUCUUAUUUUUCACCAGUUUUCUUCCUCUGCAAAAGAGGCUUCCAUUUUUCUGCCUCCCCCCCUGCUUUUCACACUUGUGCAUGUGUAGCUUCUGGAAGAGUUACACUAAGAUCAUAGCCCCAAUCUAUAUUGCAAGUCCAGGGGCUGGGUGCAGCGCUCUGGGCCUCUCUCUGCGGCCCUUUGAACUCUCUCUCUGACCACACCCCAUUUAUCCAGGCCACGCCCCUCACUGGCCCUGCUUUUGUACCUGAGUGUUUUUGCCUGGCUGAGGGCUGCUUCUCAGUGGUGGGUGGGGCCAGAGGCAAAAGUGGGUGGAGCACGAAAUGCCUUCAACACCCAUCUCUUUCUAUCGUCCACCCAAUGCUUUUUUUUUACUUUCCUGGAUGGAUGAUAGAAAGAGAUGAGUGUUGAAGGCACUUCUUGCUCCACCCACUUUUGCCUCUGGCCCCACCCACCACUGAGAAGCAGCCCUCAGAAGACUGUCCAGAAGGAAAUGUGUUCCUAUCUUCUACUGGUUGCUUGAAUAUUAAACCCAAAAUUAAUUUCUAUCCAUUAGCUUAAAAAUAUGUGGGUUUUUUCCAGUUUAUCUUCAAAGGACAGCUGUGGGGGGCUUGCUUGAAAGAAAGACAACUGGAGAUGCCAGAUGGUACCUUUCACUGGACUGAACUCCUGAUCCAGGAAAUGCACAUUCUGGGAUGGAGGAAAGCCAUGUGGCUUUCUCCAGAUGCAGCUGAUAGGACUGUGCAUCCAGUGAAAGGUUAUGUUUUGUCUGGGAGACAGGGAAAGAAGAGCUUCUGAGCUGGAGCAGUCUAUCUGAACUUGGGAUUUCAGCAGCAAGACCUUUUGAAGGCUCACACAGCUAUUCUUUUCAGUGGCCCCACCUGCUGCCUAUCACUCCCCCAGCAGGGAUCUAACUCAAUAUGACCAUUUCUGAACACAUGCAGUUAACAGUUCUGGUAGAGAUGAGCCUCUGAGUUUGAAUUGGGUGGUGGGAGGGAGGGGAAGAUGAAAGCCCUUAAAGAAAUCUACAAACCACAGUUGGAGGCAGUAAUGAAUACCAGUUGCUGGAAACCACAGGAGGGGGCACAUUGCUGUUGUGCUUAGAUCCUGCUUUCAGGUUUUCCAUUGGAGCAGGAUGCUGGAUGGGACCCCCUUUUGCCUGAUCCAGCAGCCGGGCUCUCAUGUUUUCCCUCCACUGUCAAAGAUAGCAUGAAUGCCUCUGAACACCAGCUGCUGUGAAUCGCAGGAGGGGAGAACACUGUUGCACUAAUAUCCUCCUUGCAGGCUUCUGCUAGGCUACUGGACUAGAUGGGCCACUAGUCUAGACUACACCAGAGCUCUUCUUUAAUCCAUCUGUGCCCCCCCCCAGCUGUCACAAAUCAUCCUCUUUGCCCAAAUGAGCUGAGUUCCCUGUAAUUCACCGUAGAUGUGUAUUUUGUCAAGUUGCUCUGAUGGUUUGUCGAUUUUCAGUAGAAAAUCUCUCUCUCUCUCUCGUGUGUGUGUAUGUGUAUAUAUAUAUAUUCCCUGUUCCCCACAAACUCCCUUUUUGCUCCUUACUGGUGACUUUUGUCCUUGAUGGGUUCAGCAUCUGAAUGAGACAUUAUUAUAUCACAUAGAGGGAGCUAUUAAGGAGAAAGUGGCGCCCAUUCUCCCCUAGACAAUGCCAGGUUUUGCUAAUUCUCUCCUGUGUUAUCCGCAUUUGGGUCCCAUCUGGCUGGCACAGUUUGCUCCAGUCCCUCCCGCCAUUAUGUUACCGCUUGCCUGUUUGAAUAAUAUUGCUUCCCCCUCCCCUUCUACGCUUUAUCCACCUCUAGCCUCCCUCUCCCCUCCUCUCCCUUUUCUUCUCUCUUUUAAUAGUCUCCCAAAGGCCAGAACCGAACUUGCUUAAUAGAGUAAUGUCAAAUGUGUUCAAAACAGACCAAUAAAAAAAAAACCUAAUGCAUUUCCUGCUCUUUGUCUGUCAAUUGCUCUAGUGCCUAACAUUUUCCACUCUGAAAACCACUUAAAACACAUCUACAACAAUCCCUCACAAAACAGCCACUUGUUGGCUAAUUGUAGGAACCUCCCUCCUCAUUCCCCCCCACCUCUGCUGUUCCGCCUUUUCCUCGUCUUUUGCAUUUGGAGGAUCGAUCCUGACUGGAGCACUGCAGAGCGCCUGUGGCUCUGAACCAAAGUGCCACAGCAAUUCAGGGGGGUCUGUGCGGAGCUCAGCACCUGAACAGAUCUGGCCUUUUCCUUUCAACUCCUGGCAAGAUGGGAGGCCACAUGCAUUCGGGGCCUUCCGUUCUGACGCUACUGAGUCACUCUGGUGACCUUGAGCAUGUUGCUUAAAUGCGAAAUUGUGUUUUUAGGUUGGCUGCCUGCUUUAUAUUCGUUUGGCUUUUUUUAUUUAUUUAAAAAAAAGGUUGGUGGGGAGAGAGGGAGGGGGAAAGUAUUUAAGCGUUUCAAGUAGCCUUCCUGCAGGGCUUCAUUAUAAAAAAGAAAGAAAAGAAAAGAAAAGAGAGAGAGUAUUUUCUAUAAAGAGAUGACAUCCGAUUGGCGGCUGCCAUUGGAGAGUUAUAGAACUACUGCUUAAGCAGUGGAAUAAGGGGCAAGGGAGGAGGGUAAACCUCAAGACUAUGGGGCAAAUGCAGCCCACCAGGCCUCUCCCCAGGGACAUACCUCUUUUCCCCAAGCCACACUCUUCACUGGCCCUCUUUCACCCCUCAAAUACAGUGGUACCUCGGGUUAAGAACUUAAUUCGUUCUGGAGGUCCAUUCUUAACCUGAAACUGUUCUUAACCUGAGGUACCACUUUAGCUAAUGGGGUCUCCUGCCGCACCGCCGGAGCACGAUUUCUGUUCUCACCCUGAAGCAAAGUUCUUAACCUGAGGUACUAUUUCUGGGUUGGUGGAGUCUGUAACCUGAAGCGUCUGUAACCUGAAGCGUCCCACUGUAUAUUUAUCCUUGACACUGCCUCUAGCUUGUUUGGAUGGGGAGCAGAGAGAGCAGCGUGUGAAUUUGUCAGAAACUACCCUGCUUUCACAUUCCUUACUCCACCCACUUUUGCCUCUAGCCCCACCCACCACUGGCACAUGGUCUCAGAAGGCUGCCUUAAAGGGAAUAGAGCCCUUGGACACUAUCCCUGAUUUAAAACAGAAGGACCCCAGGCUAUUCAAAGUUGGUGCGUUGGGUAUUGUUUACAUCAAGGAUGGACAAUCGGUUGACAUCUUGAUGUUUUGCAAAGCUAUUUCUCAUAAUAUAGUUCAUUUUUGUAUGUUCGUUUCACUAUGCAUUUUCAUGCACACACUACCCUGGUAUAUGCAUUUAUUUACAUUACUUGGUUGGAGAGCGGCAUUGCAAAAUUUGGAGAACUGCACUUUUCAAAGGAUAGCAAUGUUUCUGUUCACAUUCUUUUGGAAAAUGUGUAUUGGUUAGGCUUGACUUUAAAUGUGAACUGAAUCAAAUUCCUCCCCUUUCCCUUGCCUGGAAGGAUCCAUGUUUCCAUGCACUUUUUAAGAGGGAGGACAAUGAUUCCUGUCCCUCUCUUCUGAACUGGCUUAGUCACAAUGCGAGGAUUGGCAAGCAGGCAAUGCAGAGUGAGAGUGGGAAGCAUUGCUUUUGCUCUGAAUGGUUAUUAAAGCAGAAGAGGAAAUGAUGGUGUGUCCAGCCAGUUAGAUGGGCUAGGAAAAAAUACUUUGCCCCUGUUCUUGGUGGCCACAAACAUGGAGACUUAGCUUUUUGCAGUCUGUAAUUAGAUAUUGCUAUUUAUAUGGAGUACAGGCAGCCCCUUGUUUAUCCAGGGGUUACAUUCUGAGGCACCAUGCAUGUUGGUGAAAUCAGGUAAAAUGGAAACCCACUGAAAAAGCCUGUGAACAACCUGUUACGCCCCUGCCUCAGCUCCACCCUUUUAGUGAUGUUUCAGGGACAUCGUAAUGACGUUUCCGGGUCACUUCUGGGUUUGUUUGUGUGUUUUUUGAAAAUGAUAUUUAUUGAAAAAAGAAUUUUUUACAAAAUUACAAAGAAAAAAGACAAAACAGAAAAAUAAAAAGAAAAAAUAAAACCAUCAUUUUCAAAUUCUCCACUUUCAUUACCUUCUUUCUAUGACCUCCUCCUCCUCCCUUUUCUUGUAUCUUGAUUAAUAGUUGUCACAGCAAAUCCUUUCCAUAAUUCAUAGUAUUCUGUCAUUACAUUACCUUACUCUAUUUUCAUCUUAUCUUAUAAAAAACCUUAAAGCCUAAGACUUAAAACUUAUUUUUACCAACUUCUCAUAACCAUUACCUUUUUACCUAAUUCUUUAAACAUUUUUACAAGAGCCAAGUAAUUUCAUUUCAACAUUUUUCUAACAUUCAUCAAUUUUAUAAAAAUUGAUAGAAAAAAGAAAUAAGAACAAUCCAAUCUUCUUCCAGUGUCCCUUCCUCCUGGUCCCGGGUUUGUCAGUCCUUUUUAUCCCAUUAGUCUGGCACAUUAACCUGGUGAUCUUAUAUCCGAGGCCUUCAAGUCUCUUCCAUGUCCCUUCCGCAGCUCUUCUUCAUAUUUUCCUUUCACUCGUGGGAACUCCAGCUUGGUAGUGUUUUUGACCCUUUUCAACAAAUCAGCCCCUUUCCCAUAGUCCAGACUAGACUCCAUGUGGUAUUUUAAGACAUGUUUCGAAUUCCCUCCAAAAUUGGGAGCCCCCACAGCUCCAAACAUCUGACGGCCCAUUGCCAGACUCGGAAAGUCCAAACAUCUCUGCAUAUGGGGGUCAGUCCAACCCCCCAUUUCCAAAUCAAUCCAAACUUUAUCUUUCCAAAUCUGGUUUUUCCAAGUUCAUUUGUCAAAUCCAAAGGCUCAUUUUCCUGCAGGGCCAAAAGUUCCUCCCUUUCUGGCGCCCAAGAUUCAGCAACAUCCUCUUCUCUCAACUGUUCUGUCAUGGCAUACUCCUGUUUAAGUUCCUGGGUGGGCUCCAUAUAGUUUCCCACUACCUGUUCAAAUGUUCUGGCCGCCUUAGUCAUCAAAUCCGUCUUCUGACUUAACUGAUCCAAUAGGGCAUUUAUUUUACAGAAAGCACCCAACAGUGCUUCUGAAAACAUUGUCCUGCAAGGUCACAAGUCCUUUCCCACGGUUGUAAUCUGUGGCAGCUGCAAGCUCCCUAGAAUUAGUUACAGUUUCACAAUCCUCUCUAGGGGGAAAACUUCUGGUUGUUCUUUCCUUUAAGGACAAUAGCAACAAAGUUUCUUUUUUAAGAUAUUUUGUCAAUAUUUGUUCCUUUAAAAUGCGAAAGGAAACAGUGGAAUCACAAUGUUACUCUUCUUUUAACUGUCUGUCAAAAACAUUUGUCUCUGGUCAAUGAGCUUCAAACGUCAAUUCUGACACCCCGCUCCAGGAUCAGGACGGUGAAAAGUUACUUUACUUUAAACUCACUUCUGCAGGUUUAAACAGUCCAAAAAAAGUCCCCCUUCUUCUCCUGCUACCGAAAGGGGGUUCAACGAUUUUAAAUGGUGAAAACCAAUCCUUUGAAAGUGAUUUUCUAAGCUCUAGUUUACGUUGUCUUUGCUUUCUUCUGACUACAAGGAAACGGAAGGCUGACUUCCUGUUUAGACCUUCCCGUUUCAGUACCAAAUUAAGGUAAAUUUUUAAGUCCAAUUCCUUUCUAAUCGCCAGUUCUUAUUUGAAGUCCAAUUGUUCAAUGUUUAAGUACCCACGGGUGAUUAUUUUAGAUGCCAAAUUGUCCCAGGAAAAAGGCAGCCCUCUCCGGCAACGGCUAUGCGGCUUCGCUCCACGGAAAAAGCAGUUGACUCACAGCACCGCGCCACUUCCCCCUCUUCGCUUCGGAGCCCGUUAGUGGGUUCCUUUGCGGGUUGGGGGGGCACUAAGGGUGCCCGCCGAGUCCCACGGUCACAGGCUUCACCCGCCUGUGAUUUCUAAAAGGGUCCCCGCUUCGCCGCAGCGGAAAAGACCCGUUUCACGCGGAGCUGGUCCCUCCGGUUCAGAGGGAGUCCGCCAUUGCCGAUGGCGCCACCCCGGAAAUCCCACUUCUGGGUUUGUUGCACAUACACAGUCACACACUUAUUGAACAUGCAUAAAUGGGCAGUUUAUAAAGUAACCUAAGCAGGAAGGACAAUGCCUCCAAAGGGUUUACAAUCUAAAUGCUAAGCCAGAGACAGAAAGGUUAAAAGCAACCCAAGACUAAUUGAAGCAACGCAGUUAAGUAUAGCAAUACAGAAGUUAUUUAGUGGUUCUUGGUUCUUGGUUUCCAAACCAUGCCACACAAUUAGCUGGGGAAACUAAACAACAGACUUGUAAGGUAGAUCAGUGUUAAGUGUCCUCACAUUGCAAAUGGACAUACAUUCAGGUUGAGAAUGGCUUGCUUAAGACCACCUAGUGAACUUAAAAGGAAGGGCUUGUAAGUUAACUCACAAGGAAUCGCAGGAAGAAUUUGGGGAAGGGCUGUAGCUCAGUGGUAGAUCCUGACAUGCAGAAAGUCCCAGGUUCAAUCCCCAACAUCUCAAAGUUGGGCUGGAAGACUUCUCUGCCUGAAAUCCUGGAGAUAUAUAAGGCCACUUCCAGUGGCCUGUGAGGACUAGAAUCUUUAGUUUUAGAUGGACGACAGUAAUUCAAUGACAGAACACGUGUUUUGGACCAAGGGUUUGGCUCAGUACAAGAUCACUUCCCCUGUUCCUAGCAAGGGUCAUAGCUCUAUAGUACAGCAUCUGCUUUCUAUACAGAAGAUCCUAGGUUCAGUGCUCAGUGACAUGCCUAGGUAGGGCUCAUAGAGACCCCUGCCUUAAACCCUGGAGAGCUGAUGCCAGACAGUGUAGACAAUACUGAGACAAAUGAACCACUCAGUAGAAGACGACUUCAUAUGAAGAUUUGGAAUGGCUGGUCCUGUUCAUCUCUCUCUCUCUCUCUCUCUCUCUCUCUCUCUCUCUCUCUCUCCUCACUUUUGCAGGUUGUCUCAUGACCCAGAAAGGCUGUCGGGCCAACAGCAGCAGAGGGGCAGAUAAUGUCAGCGUCUAAGUGAGCAUCUCACAUAACCAAAGAGGUCACCCUGGUGACCUCCUCCCCCCCCCCCCCCGCUUUUCUACAGAGAGGAAAAAGUCAAGAGAAAAAGCCAAUAUCUUCUGUUACGAGGGUCCAACAAAACAUACCUGUAUUUUUGGAUGGCCACAUUCUCAGUUUGGAUGAUGGGGAAACAGGGAGGGGUGUUCAGGCAGAAAGGAGACCCCACAAAGGGCCAACUGACCACUGCUAUUGAGUGACCAGAUGGGUGUCCGGAGUUCCUUGUGUGAGUCCCUUGUCUUUUCCUUUUACGGCGGUGAGGCUUUGAGGCCUAGACCCCUCGGGGCAGCCUUUUGUAAUUGCCAUGCUUAUCUGCCCUCCCUGGUUUUGUGAUCCCGCCUGUCCUUCUCCCUCAGGUGGUUCCCAUGAUGGCGUGGACCGUCAAGGAGGAAUAAAGCUCCCUUUCAGCAAUCGCUAGUGAAGACUUUGGGAAACUCCCGGGGAGAGAUGCAAGGCAGAUCCUUGUGAAAUGCAGAGACAAAGCCACCUUGUUUCAAGAAGUUUACAAAGGGAGCCCAUCUCCUCCUGGGAAGUUUUCAUCCAAAGGCUCUCGACCUCAGCACAAAGGGAGUCUUCUCAGCCAAGCUGGGUGUAUGUAUUUAAUAAACCUACUAGCAGCAGGCAAGGGGCCACAGAUGGUUUUUGGAGAUGCUGUAUGUGUUUUUGUCUCUGUUGUUCUGAACAUUUUGUAUUUAAGAACAGAAGAAGAGCUUGGCAGCUGGAUCGCGCCAAAGGCCCAUCUAGUCCAUCACCCUGUACAGACACUGGCCAACCAGAUGCCCCAGUGGGAAUCUCACAAGCAAGACCUGGUUCCAACCGUGCUGUCCCCACUGGCAAUUCCUG
rnacentral:lncRNA from 1 species